rnacentral:rRNA from 1 species
GAACGCUGGCGGCGUGCUUAACACAUGCAAGUCGAGCGGUAAGGCCCUUUCGGGGGUACACGAGCGGCGAACGGGUGAGUAACACGUGGGUGACCUGCCCUCAGCUCUGGGAUAAGCCUGGGAAACCGGGUCUAAUACUGGAUAUGACUCCAUGACGCAUGUUGUGGGGUGGAAAGCCUUGUGCGGCUGAGGAUGGGCCCGCGGCCUAUCAGCUUGUUGGUGGGGUGANGGCCUACCAAGGCGACGACGGGUAGCCGGCCUGAGAGGGCGACCGGCCACACUGGGACUGAGACACGGCCCAGACUCCUACGGGAGGCAGCAGUGGGGAAUCUUGCGCAAUGGGCGAAAGCCUGACGCAGCGACGCCGCGUGAGGGAUGACGGCCUCGGUGUAAC